rnacentral:rRNA from 1 species
AUUGAACGCUGGCGGCAUGCCUUACACAUGCAAGUCGAACGGCAGCACGGGAACUUGCUCCUGGUGGCGAGUGGCGAACGGGUGAGUAAUACAUCGGAACGUACCCUGAAGUGGGGGAUAACGUAGCGAAAGUUACGCUAAUACCGCAUAUUCUGUGAGCAGGAAAGAGGGGGAUCGCAAGACCUCUUGCUUUAGGAGCGGCCGAUGUCGGAUUAGCUAGUUGGUGAGGUAAAGGCUCACCAAGGCGACGAUCCGUAGCGGGUCUGAGAGGAUGAUCCGCCACACUGGGACUGAGACACGGCCCAGACUCCUACGGGAGGCAGCAGUGGGGAAUUUUGGACAAUGGGCGCAAGCCUGAUCCAGCCAUGCCGCGUGAGUGAAGAAGGCCUCGGUUGUAAG